rnacentral:snRNA from 2 species
AGCUCUUCUUUGCCUUUUGGCUUAGAUCAAGUGUAGUAUCUGUUCUUUUCAGUUUAAUCUCUGAAAGAUGCCUAUUGGCAUCAAUCUUGAUUAUUCCUAUUUUUUGAUUCUCGAAGUCCGGCCUCUGUGGCUUGCUGCAUGCCGACUUCACCGUGUCCCUGGUAUUUCACUGCCUCCAGGAGACGCAAACCGUG